UCCAGACUCCUACGGGAGGCAGCAGUAGGGAAUUUUGCGCAAUGGGCGAAAGCCUGACGCAGCAACACCGCGUGAAUGUUAAGCCCUUCGGGGUGUAAAGUUCUGUCAAUAGGGACGAAUUUUGACUGUACCUAUAAAGGAAGCACCGGCUAACUCCGUGCCAGCAGCCGCGGUAAUACGGGGGAUGCAAGCGUUAUCCGGAUUUAUUGGGUUUAAAGGGUGCGUAGGCUGUGAGGUAAGUCAGCGGUGAAAUGCCCCCGCUCAACGGGGUGAAGUGCCAUUGAUACUGCCUUGCUGGAAUGCGGAUGCCGUGGGAGGAAUGUGUGGUGUAGCGGUGAAAUGCAUAGAUAUCACACAGAACACCGAUUGCGAAGGCAUCUCACGAAUCCGCGAUUGACGCUGAUGCACGAAAGCGUGGGUAUCAAACAGGAUUAGAUACCCCCGUA
rnacentral:rRNA from 1 species